GCCUGCAAGCCCACUCCGCCUUCCGCUCUGGUCUACGUACGCAUUAGUUCCGCAACACUUGUCAAUAAGCUUCCUGAGUGCAAGGCCGGACUGUGGGCACAACCAGAGGGUACACGUGGGCGCCUCAUAACCUUCACAUAAACUUGAAUCUGCUGGGCCCUUGGACUCAUCAUGUACGCAUGGCCGUGCUGUACAUCCCACAGUCAGAAUCUGGAUAGGAUUAUGAGCUUCGUCACCAUAAUGGUUACAUUUGUGUGUGCAAGCACACAGGGUUGCGGGCCGCACACCACUUACUCCAUGCCAUCAAAAGAAUUCUCCAGCAGACAUAGGCCAGCUGGCACUGCACUCAAUCUCUCGGGUCCUCUCACAUUUGCUUCCUACUCUGGGUCAGUCACACUCCGCUUGCAAGGCUAGUGCUCGCCAAAAUCAUCCCUCCUAACAGCUUCUCUCAUACACACGCUCUCACUUCAGGAACAAGACAUUAACACUUUAAAUACGCAGUCUGUGCUGGAAGCUUGCUGUGCCCUUUCGGUGACAGGCACUGCAUUACCCACGGCACACUCUCAAUCAACCACUCACGGAACAAGGCCGUAAACAGAAAACAAUGCGUGCAUCAAGCCGCACCAAUGCAGGGCGCCACUCUUUGUAGUUACCAGACACAUCUUCCCAACCACAGGGGCAGUGGCCGGUGCCUGACUAGUGCAUGGGGAAAAUACAAGGUCGUUGCUAACUGUAAUCCAAACCAGAAACAAGAAUCACUCAGCUUGCAACUGCAAAUCAGCAGCACAUUUAGCCCAGCAGGGCGGAGCCCUUCACCAGCUCCACGAUCAGCAGGCCAGCGAAGCCCAGCUGCGCGACGCGGCCCAGGGUCAGCUCGAGGCCGGGGGUGAAGGGGCCGAAGGAGCGGGAGUCCACGUUCAGAGAGUGCACCAUCUUGGGCACCAGGGUCGCCAUGGUGGUCAGCAGCACGACGGCGAAGAACAGCAGGGUGCUGGUGCCGAAGGGAGCCUCAACAAUCUCGCCGUCAACGUACUGCAGGGUUAAAGGAAGAGGAAGAAAGGCAAACAGGUUAGUGCACUGAGUAGGCGUAGGGCGGCAAUGCAUGCGACGCACAGUCUUGCAACAAGGCUUCGCAUACCCAAUACUUGUAAUCCUCACCUUGCCGGCGAUCUGGCUGAAGAUGGAUUGGUGGGUCAGAGACUCGGACACCACAGCGGCCACGAAGCCCAGCAUGGCGGAGCGGCCGUUGAUGGCCUCCUGGACGGGGCCCAGAAUGUUCAGGGUGGCAGCGGGGCUCUCGCCGCUCACGUUGGAGGCCAGGGGAGCAGGGGCGGGGGUGGGGGUAGGCGCGGAGGUGGAGGGAGCCGACUCGUCCUGCGGGGGAGGCAAGGGAGCACAACUGUCAGGAAACGGGCAGUGAAGGCACAAGGCGGAGAAGGCGGGGAGGGCGCGACGUGGCCGGCGCUAAUGCCAGACUCAGUUUUGCGUGAGCCUGGCAGAAAACGUAACGCCUCAUGCUCACCCUACUCACGCAUGAAACACUAUAUUGCUCCCAUCUACAUUGCCGAACCCUUGAGAACCUGGCUCACCUGGGGAGCCGCACGGAUGGGGGCCAUCCGAGUCUUGACGACGAAGCGGCAAGCAGGGCGCUGGGUCGGGGCCACAGCCAUGCGACGACCAGCAAUCAUGGUAGCGGACUGCAUCUUUUCGAAGUGGUUUCAAGCCGAAAGGCGAAAUAACAGAUGCAGGAUGUUACGGGGUGUGGAGUAGUGUUGUGGAGUGAGCGAUGAAGUAAGUUAUGCAGUGCAGUGAAAUCGUAAUGUAUUUAUAGCUUGGGGAUGCCUGCAUGGGCCACACAGUUGGCGCUGGUCCGGAGCCUCAGAGACCGAGCGGCCCAGAACGCUCGCAGCCGCAGAAUCGCGGCUUUAACGAAGCUGCAACCACCGGGGUCCACGCCGGCUUCGAUACAUUCUACGUCAAUAAUAGCAAAUAGAAGCUACAUACAUAAACACGGUAACGAAGUUGUCAGUGCUGGCCCGGUGCAGUCUGUGCAGUCCGGGGUCGGGCCACGGGUCGGGCCAGGGGAAUCCCGACUCCGGGCGCAUCAACCCCCGGCUCGCCGGGGCCUUCGCAAAGAAUCUAUGUCUCAAGUGCAAACCAUGCAAGUCCUGUGCCACAUCAACAUGGUAUGCACGCAGCGGUCCCCGCAGUCCAACAGCUGCGUUGGCAGGCAGCAAGCGCCCUACGGUAAUACGGUAGGUACAUCGCACGCAUAUGGCGGCACAGCUGCCUAUGAUAGACAGCUGCAAGCAUCGGAUGGAGCUACGCACAAGCUACUUUCCGUACAUUUCCCUGCUCCAUCACACCCCCCUUCUGUGGAUGACUCAGGUCUUUCCACCUUCAGUACCCAAGGGAACCCCCAGCCCCACGCCCCAGCCCCUCCGUCGUACUCCCGUCGUCCACGCAGUGCCUGGCAGUGCCGGAUGCCUGGGCCAGCCAACACGGGUGCUACCCCUCAUCCCACACACCUGAAUGUCCAUGCGGGGGCUGGCUCGAGAUGAGGAGUACACACGGUAAUACCGAUCACGCCCACUGUUUGCUUGCGCAUUCGCAUGCACAGUGUCAACCCGUGUUCCCCUUGUCCUUUCGUUGACACCAAAUCCUAGUGGCACCAAGCACAAUUAAUAUGGAGAUGCGCCAACCACCAUGACAAAGUUACUGCCCGAAGUCGUUCGCACUGUCCAGUGUCUGGUUACGACAGCAUGCGUGUAUUCAUCACGCUGGCAAACCCGUGCCAAUUUUGCCAUGGCAGGUGGCGGCUGGCACGUGUCAUUGUCGCAGGGACACUGACGUGGACAGAUGCGCCAUGUUUGCUCCGCUCGGCUAUGUAAAACAUACUGAUGCACCCGUGAAAGGUCCUAGAGUUUCCGGAUCCCUGGGCCCCUUGCAUAAUAGACAGGCGCAGGUAUCCGACCUGGUGUGAGGUAGACUGCGUGAGCGUGGGGCACCGGAAUCGUGACCGGAAUACCGUCGCGGGUACGCGUGCGUUGCAAGGGAGAGUACACUGCAUCACGUCUUCGUCACCAUAGUGGUUACAGUCUGUGUGUGCAAGCACACACGGUUGCGGGCUGCAUACUACUUACUCCACGCCAUCAAAAGAAUUCUCCAGCAGCCAUAGGCCGGCUGGCACUGCACUCAAUCUCUCGGGUCCUCUCACAUUUGCUUCCUACUCUGGGUCAGUCACACUCCGCUUGCAAGGCUAGUGCUCGCCAAAAUCGUCCCUCCUAACAGCUUCUCUCAUACACACGCUCUCACUUCAGGAACAAGACAUUAACACUUUAAAUACGCAGUCUGUGCUGGAAGCUUGCUGUGCCCUUUCGGUGACAGGCACUGCAUUACCCACGGCACACUCUCAAUCAACCACUCACGGAACAAGGCCGUAAACAGAAAACAAUGCGUGCAUCAAGCCGCACCAAUGCAGGGCGCCACUCUUUGCAGUUACCAGACACAUCUUCCCAACCACAGGGGCAGUGGCCGGUGCCUAACCAGUGCAUGGGGAAAAUACAAGGUCGUUGCUAACUAUAAUCCAAACCAGAAACAAGAAUCGCUCGGCUUGCAGCUGCAAAUCAGCAGCACAUUUAGCCCAGCAGGGCGGAGCCCUUCACCAGCUCCACGAUCAGCAGGCCAGCGAAGCCCAGCUGCGCGACGCGGCCCAGGGUCAGCUCGAGGCCGGGGGUGAAGGGGCCGAAGGAGCGGGAGUCCACGUUCAGAGAGUGCACCAUCUUGGGCACCAGGGUCGCCAUGGUGGUCAGCAGCACGACGGCGAAGAACAGCAGAGUGCUGGUGCCGAAGGGAGCCUCAACAAUUUCGCCGUCAACGUACUGCAGGGUUAAAGGAAGAGGAAGAAAGGCAAACAG
rnacentral:lncRNA from 1 species